UCAGAACGAACGCUGACGGCGCGUCUUAAGCAUGCAAGUCGAACGAGAAAGUAUCCUUCGGGGUACAAGUAAAGUGGCGAACGGGUGAGUAACACGUGGGUAAUCUGCCCUGAAGUUGGGGACAACUCGCUGAAAAGCGAGCUAAUACCGAAUGAGAUAGUCUUUACAUAUGUAGAGAUUAUGAAAGGUUUCGGCCGCUUCAGGAUGAGCCUGCGGUCUAUUAGCUAGUUGGUGAGGUAAAUGCUCACCAAGGCUACGAUAGAUAGCCGGCCUGAGAGGGUGUACGGUCACAUUGGAACUGAGACACGGUCCAUACUCCUACGGGAGGCAGCAGUGAGGAAUAUUGCGCAAUGGGGGCAACCCUGACGCAGCAACGCCGCGUGGACGAUGAAGGCCUUCGGGUUGUAAAGUCCUUUUCUGAAGGAAGAUAGUGACGGUACUUCAGGAAUAAGUCCCGGCUAACUACGUGCCAGCAGCCGCGGUAAAACGUAGGGGGCGAGCGUUAUCCGGAUUUACUGGGCGUAAAGCGCACGUAGGCGGCAUCGUAAGUUGGACGUGAAAGCUCCCGGCUCAACUGGGAGAGGUCGUUCAAAACUGUGGUGCUUGAGGUUGAUAGAGGAGAGUGGAAUUCCCGGUGUAGUGGUGGAAUGCGUAGAUAUCGGGAGGAACACCAGUGGCGAAGGCGGCUCUCUAGGUCACACCUGACGCUGAGGUGCGGAAGCGUGGGGAGCGAACGGGAUUAGAUACCCCGGUAGUCCACGCUGUAAACGAUGGAUACUAGGUGUGGGAGGUUAUUUACCCCUUCUGUGCCGUAGCUAACGCGUUAAGUAUCCCGCCUGGGGACUACGGCCGCAAGGUUAAAACUCAAAGGAAUUGACGGGGGCCCGCACAAGCAGCGGAGCGUGUGGUUUAAUUCGAUGAUACGCGAAGAACCUUACCUGGGCUUGACAUGGUGGUAGUAGUGAAGCGAAAGCGGAACGACCCUUCGGGGAGCCAUCACAGGUGCUGCAUGGCUGUCGUCAGCUCGUGUCGUGAGAUGUUGGGUUAAGUCCCGCAACGAGCGCAACCCUCGUCGCUAGUUAUAUGUGUCUAGUGAGACUGCCGGUAUCAAACCGGAGGAAGGUGGGGAUGACGUCAAGUCAGCAUGGUCUUUAUGUCCAGGGCUACACACACGCUACAAUGGCCGGUACAAUGGGUUGCCAUACCGCGAGGUGGAGCUAAUCCUCAAAGCCGGUCUCAGUUCGGAUUGCAGUCUGCAACUCGACUGCAUGAAGGUGGAGUUGCUAGUAACCGCGCGUCAGCAAUAGUGCGGUGAAUGCGUUCCCGGGCCUUGUACACACCGCCCGUCACAUCAUGGGAGUCGGCAACACCUGAAGUCGGUGACCAAACCGAAAGGUAGGAACUGCCUAAGGUGGGGCCGGUAACUGGGAUGAAGUC
rnacentral:rRNA from 1 species